rnacentral:rRNA from 1 species
GAUGAACGCUGGCGGCGUGCCUAAUACAUGCAAGUCGAGCGAAUGGAUUAGGAGCUUGCUCUUAUGAAGUUAGCGGCGGACGGGUGAGUAACACGUGGGUAACCUGCCCAUAAGACUGGGAUAACUCCGGGAAACCGGGGCUAAUACCGGAUAACAUUUUGAACCGCAUGGUUCGAAAUUGAAAGGCGGCUUCGGCUGUCACUUAUGGAUGGACACGCGUCGCAUUAGCUAGUUGGUGAGGUAACGGCUCACCAAGGCAACGAUGCGUAGCCGACCUGAGAGGGUGAUCGGCCACACUGGGACCGAGACACGGCCCAGACUCCUACGGGAGGCAGCAGUAGGGAAUCUUCCGCAAUGGACGAAAGUCUGACGGAGCAACGCCGCGUGAGUGAUGAAGGCUUUCGGGUCGUAAAAUUCUGUUGUUAGGGAAGAACAAGUGCUAGUUGAAUAAGCUGGCACCUUGACGGUACCUAACCAGAAAGCCACGGCUGACUACGUGCCAGCAGCCGCGGUAA